rnacentral:lncRNA from 1 species
CCCCACCCCAAAGACUCCUCUCAUACAUCAUGUUUUCUCCCUCAUCUCUCUCUACCGCCUACUGCGUGCUGAAAAUCGCCUACGGCAGCGGGCCACCUCCAAACACCCCCAAAUGUUCACCAGGUGAUCCUCGUCCCUUCCUCAUCCUUAAUCUCUUAACCAUUAUCUCUGAAACCCCCUAGAACUCGUCAUUUAGUAGAUCUUAGAAUUUCAAAAAAUCUAUAUUUACCCCUUUCCUGAUUUCUCCUCAAUUUGGCCUGUUUGAACUUGAAAGCUACGUUAAUUGAUUGCUCUUGAUGAGAUCAAUCAAUUGACGUUAGUUUUGGUUCAUUUUACGGCCAUCAAAAUCCAUUCAACCCCGUUGACCGGCCAGUUUCUUCUCUAAUUGCUCCAUUUUGUUUCUCCGGCUUGCCGGAAUCACUUUCAUCGAUAUGUUGGAACCCAAUAGGUAUGCCUCUCCCUCUUUUCAUUUUAUUUCUCGAUUUUAUUCUUAUUUUGUUCCUCUCAUUUCAGUUUAGUUUAGGAAGUAUGUGUUCAAAUUGCUUUGUGUUAAGCGUCUGAAAAUAAGAGAAUUUAAAAAUAAAAAAAAUAAAAAGACAGAAAUGAAAGAGAGAGAAAUUUUUGUAGUGAUCUUAGCUUCUGUUGCCUACUUCGCAUUUUUCUGGGUUUCUACGAGUUGUUUGAGGUCGAAACACCGCUGUUAAUUGCUGGAAUUGUUGCUGAACUCCAUUAGUUGCUUUCUUCAGACCUUUAUUUGGUCAUUCCUGUUAUAUUCCUUGCCAUUACGUAUGUUCAUAUUCAUCUGAAAAUUUUUAUUCAAGUCUAUAACAUGAAAAUUUGGUUUGUCUAUGCUGUUUUUGUGUUUAAUCAUCUAGAUCCAGCAUGUUUGAUUGCUAAAGUUGUUCAGAUCUCACUCUCUGUUAAUAUCUAAAGUUGUUAGUACGCUUUAACUGAAUGUUUAGGCGUAUUAAGUCUUGCUGAUGAAAUGUCACGUCUGUUUGUUGAUGUUUGAUUACUUGAAACCGAAGGUUCAUCUUUAAGUUGAUGUUAAAUGUGGCAAACUUGUGCAUCUAACCACCAGCUGGUCAGAUUCAUUUGUGAAAAUCCAGAUCAACAGGGUUAACCACAAGAAGUAUAUGAUUGGGGGAGGUCUUGUUGUUGGCUCUUCCCAGUCGAUGCAAGCAGUAGUAGAUAACAUGGAUUCAUAGUUUAUAGGCUAAAUUGUAAAAUUA